rnacentral:rRNA from 1 species
GUCCUUUAGAAUUUAAUUUAAGGUCUGACCUGCCCAGUGAUAAAUUUAACGGCCGCGGUAUACUGACCGUGCAAAGGUAGCAUAAUCAUUAGUCUUUUAAUAGAGGGCUGGAAUGAACGGUUUAACGAGGAACUGACUGUCUCAUUUUAUUUGUUUUAAAACUUAAUUUUUUAGUUAAAAAGCUAAAAUAUUAUUGGAAGACGAGAAGACCCUAUAGAUCUUCAUAUAAUUUUUUAUAUUUACUUAUAUAUUAAUAUGAGUAUAAUAAAAUUGUAUUUUGUUGGGGUGACAAAAAUAUAUAAUUAACUUUUUCAUUUAUUUACCAUUGAUAUAUGAUUUUUAGAUCCACUAUUAGUGAUUAUUAGAACAAGUUACCUUAGGGAUAACAGCGUAAUCCUCCUCCAGAGCUCAUAUUUACAGGAGGGCUUGCGACCUCGAUGUUGGAUUAAGAUAAUAAUUAGGUGUAGCCGCUUAAUAUAUAGGUCUGUUCGACCUUUAAAUUCUU